CUUGGUCAUUUAGAGGAAGUAAAAGUCGUAACAAGGUCUCCGUUGGUGAACCAGCGGAGGGAUCAUUACCGAGUUUACAACUCCCAAACCCCUGUGAACAUACCUUAAUGUUGCCUCGGCGGAUCAGCCCGCGCCCCGUAAAACGGGACGGCCCGCCAGAGGACCCAAACUCUAAUGUUUCUUAUUGUAACUUCUGAGUAAAACAAACAAAUAAAUCAAAACUUUCAACAACGGAUCUCUUGGUUCUGGCAUCGAUGAAGAACGCAGCAAAAUGCGAUAAGUAAUGUGAAUUGCAGAAUUCAGUGAAUCAUCGAAUCUUUGAACGCACAUUGCGCCCGCUGGUAUUCCGGCGGGCAUGCCUGUUCGAGCGUCAUUUCAACCCUCAAGCCCCCGGGUUUGGUGUUGGGGAUCGGCUCUGCCUUCUGGCGGUGCCGCCCCCGAAAUACAUUGGCGGUCUCGCUGCAGCCUCCAUUGCGUAGUAGCUAACACCUCGCAACUGGAACGCGGCGCGGCCAUGCCGUAAAACCCCAACUUCUGAAUGUUGACCUCGGAUCAGGUAGGAAUACCCGCUGAACUUAAGCAUAUCAAUAAGCGGAGGA
rnacentral:rRNA from 1 species